CGCGUGCACUGGUACGGUCGGGCCUUUCCCUCUGGGGAACCGCAUGCCCUUCACUGGGUGUGUCGGGGAACCAGGACUUUUACUUUGAAAAAAUUAGGGUGUUCAAAGCAGGCUUAUGCUCGGAUACAUUAGCAUGGAAUAAUAGAAUAGGACGUGCGGUUCUAUUUUGUUGGUUUCUAGGACCGCCGUAAUGAUUAAUAGGGACAGUCGGGGGCAUCAGUAUUCAAUUGUCAGAGGUGAAAUUCUUGGAUUUAUUGAAGACUAACUACUGCGAAAGCAUUUGCCAAGGAUGUUUUCAUUAAUCAGGAACGAAAGUUAGGGGAUCGAAGACGAUCAGAUACCGUCGUAGUCUUAACCAUAAACUAUGCGAACUAGGGAUCGGACGAUGUUAUUAUUUGACUCGUUCGGCACCUUACACGAAAGUACAAGUUUCUGCGUUCCGGGGGGAGUAUGGUCGCAAGGCUGAAACUUAAAGAAAUUGACGGAAGGGCACCACCAGGAGUGGAGCCUGCGGCUUAAUUUGACUCAACACGGGGAAACUCACCAGGUCCAGACACAAUGAGGAUUGACAGAUUGAGAGCUCUUUCUUGAUUUUGUGGGUGGUGGUGCAUGGCCGUUCUUAGUUGGUGGAGUGAUUUGUCUGCCUAAUCGCGAUAACGAACGAGACCUUAACCUGCUAAAUAGCCCGUAUUGCUUCUGCAGUACGCUGGCUUCUUAGAGGGACUAUCGG
rnacentral:rRNA from 1 species